UCUCUCUGUCUUUGAAUGUUAAACGAUAACUUUCCACAGAUCACAUACAAAAUACCUCAAGUUUUUAGUCCAUGUUUUCAUAACUAUUAAGGCUUAAUCUUCAAUUAGCCUCCAAGAAAUUUCUCUUAAGGAGGUCAAAAGUGAAAAAGAACUAAGAAAUUGCAAGUUCAAGUGGAGAAUCCACAAUAAACGCAACAAUAUUUCACUCUCUCCGGAAAACUUUUCUUAAGAGCCCACUCUUAUGCUUCCUUUUGUUGGUCUGGUAUUUUCCACCACCACAAAAAAUGACAAAAUUUAGUUCAUUUUGAUUAGUAUGCCACCACCGCUAAAUUCUCGUUCCAUUGCGCCAACAAAGCAAGUAGCAAUUCCAUAUUGGUACACUGCCUUGACAAGGCUCUUGUCACGAUAAAUGGCCGAGCUCAUGACAAACGUGUCAUAUAAAAAAAAAAAAGAAAAAAAAAAUGGGUUCUUGAACGACAGUCCUGAGAAUCUGAGAUGCUCAGCUUUAUAUUCGUAUCUUUCCUCCAAAAACCUGAAGUGGCACCAAUCAUAAAGAAUGUCAACUUAGAGAUAUAUCAUAGACGUUUACUAUUGACUUAUUGAUCAAUCACAAUUUAUGAGAGGAUCUUGUUAGUAUUGUUCUCACACAUUUACCUAGAGAUUCACCAUCCCUCCACCAAAGAGCCGAACAAAGAGACACGGUCCUAGACUAUUACACCACUAGUCUGUAUCUAUCUGAGCCAGUGACCAAUCUAAUAAUUUACUACAAACACAAGUCAGCUAGGGAGCAUUUUGUUUACCAUUUACCCAAGAUUCUAAAACUCUAAACUUAUGCAUAAGAGUAUAUUCCACUAAAUUGGACAGGCGUUAGUACAACUCAAGGGGACUGGAUAUUCUCUGAGCGCAUACCAAAAAACUAUAGCUUGGAAACUUAGACCAUCUCAAAGAAACUCUUUAAACAAGAAAUGCUCUCUAUUUUAGAGAGUCAAACCUUAAAAUCAUGUUUCAAGAGAUUCUUUAAAUUAACAUUUU
rnacentral:lncRNA from 1 species